GAAAAAGUUGAGAGCUAGCACUCUCAACUUCUCUAAAAGGAGUUUUAGAGAAUUUUUCACAACCAAUAUGUGCGGAUACCAUUAGAAACUGGACAUUGGUAGUUUGUUACGACCCGGUCCAAUGGUUAGUAAAUUUCUCAAUCUAUCUGAGGUAAUUUAUUAAACAAUAAAUUUUAAAAUUUCACCAUUUCAUAACUUUAAUUAAAUUGAUCUUGAUUUUAAAAUUUUCUGCUCAAUUUGCUGGGAAUCAGAUGUAAACUAACAGUGAUAUUAGAGCUAUUUUAAUUAAUUAUGAAAUGAUUUGUUGUUGUUGGUGUUAAUUUG
rnacentral:misc_RNA from 1 species